UACGUAGGGACCAAGCGUUGUUCGGAUUUAUUGGGCGUAAAGGGCGCGCAGGCGGCCACGCACGUCCGUUGUGAAAUCGCCCGGCUCAACUGGGCGGGGUCGGCGGAUACGGCGUGGCUGGAGCAAGCUAGGGGGUAGUGGAAUUCCCGGUGUAGUGGUGGAAUGCGUAGAUAUCGGGAGGAACACCAGUGGCGAAGGCGGCUACCUGGGGCUUUGCUGACGCUGAGGCGCGAAAGCGUGGGGAGCGAUCCGG
rnacentral:rRNA from 1 species